AAUAUUGAUGAAGUACAACUUAUAUGUUUUUUCUAUUAUGGAUCAUGCUUUUGGUGUUAUACCUAACAAAUCUUUGCCUAAAGCAGGGACACAGAUUUCGUCUAUGUUUUCUUCUGUAAGUUUUAUAGCUUUAGGUUUUAUUUAUUCAUUUAGAGACAAGGUCUCAUUCUGUCACCCAGAAUGGAGUAUAGUGGCCCCAUC
rnacentral:lncRNA from 10 species